AGCAAUCAAUUAGAUGACAGAGAACACCUGAUGCUUGUUUGUACCUGUCAGACUGCAUCAGCGUCAUCGCAUACCGAAUGAGCCCAAAUAACACCAGGACUGAAUCUAUACUACUGAUGUCUAAAAUUUGAUACCUCUGCUCUAAUGAUUCUGUCACUUGGAGAGGGGACGGGAUACCCGACAAGCCACAUAUGACAGGCUUCAUUUGGCUGGAUUCAGUGUCACCUUCAGCUCUGCUGAAUUGUAAUUAAAUUGAAGUGCCAGUGUCUCCAUGGAUUACAUCAAAUCUGCAGAUCAAGGCUGUGGCAGGUACCAAACGCUGCAUACGAUGGCCCAGCUGCUCAUCAUGCUGAGAAGAUACCGCACCAGGCCACACUUACUGCUGUUCCAGAAAGCAUCACCGAAGCGAGGGUCAUACUGUAAGAUGAC